rnacentral:rRNA from 1 species
AACGAACGCUGGCGGCAGGCCUAACACAUGCAAGUCGAACGCCCUAGCAAUAGGGAGUGGCAGACGGGUGAGUAACGCGUGGGAACGUGCCUUUCGGUUCGGAAUAACUCAGGGAAACUUGAGCUAAUACCGGAUACGCCCUUCGGGGGAAAGAUUUAUUGCCGAAAGAUCGGCCCGCGUCCGAUUAGCUAGUUGGUGAGGUAAAGGCUCACCAAGGCGACGAUCGGUAGCUGGUCUGAGAGGAUGAUCAGCCACACUGGGACUGAGACACGGCCCAGACUCCUACGGGAGGCAGCAGUGGGGAAUAUUGGACAAUGGGCGCAAGCCUGAUCCAGCCAUGCCGCGUGAGUGAUGAAGGCCCUAGGGUUGUAAAGCUCUUUCGCCAGGGACGAUAAUGACGGUACCUGGAUAAGAAGCCCCGGCUAACUUCGUGCCAGCCGCCGCGGUAAUAC